UACCAGACUCCUACGGGAGGCAGCAGUGGGGAAUAUUGCACAAUGGGGGAAACCCUGAUGCAGCGACGCCGCGUGAGCGAAGAAGUAUCUCGGUAUGUAAAGCUCUAUCAGCAGGGAAGAAAAUGACGGUACCUGACUAAGAAGCCCCGGCUAACUACGUGCCAGCAGCCGCGGUAAUACGUAGGGGGCAAGCGUUAUCCGGAAUUACUGGGUGUAAAGGGAGCGUAGACGGUAAUGCAAGUCUGGAGUGAAAGGCGGGGGCCCAACCCCCGGACUGCUCUGGAAACUGUGUAAUUGGAGUGCAGGAGAGGCAGGCGGAAUUCCUAGUGUAGCGGUGAAAUGCGUAGAUAUUAGGAGGAACACCAGUGGCGAAGGCGGCCUGCUGGACUGUAACUGACGUUGAGGCUCGAAAGCGUGGGGAGCAAACAGGAUUAGAUACCCCGGUACCG
rnacentral:rRNA from 1 species